rnacentral:tRNA from 1 species
GCCCCCGUAGCUCAGUGGAUAGAGCAAUGGAUUCCUAAUCCAUGUGCCGUGGGUCCGAUUCCCGCCGGGGGCACCA